GGUUAAGCCGGACCAAGGUACACGGUGGAUGCCCCGGCAGUCAGAGGGCGACGCGCAGCGACGCCGUUCCACAAGCGUCGGUAAGGUGAUAUGGUGAAAACUGCUGCACCGGCGAUUGAAUGGGGAAACCCAGUGUACUUCGAUAUCAUUAACUGGAAUCCAUAGGUUAAUGAGGGUAUGAACCGGGGAACUGAAACAUCUGGCACCCCGAGGAAAAGAGAAAUCAACCGAGAUCCCCCCAGUGCAGCGGCGAGCGAACGGGGAGCAGUCUGUGAUUUCGAACUGCGUGCGUGUUAGUGGAAGCGUCUGGAAAGGCGUAAGUGCGAUACAGGUGACGCCCUCCCUGCAUUAAUAAAAAUGAUAAUAAUGCUAGAGCUCGAUGAGCAGGGCGGACACGUAGACCUGGUUCGAAUAUGGGGACCAUCCUCCUGCUACCACCUGACUGACCGAUAGUGAACCAGUACCGUGAGGGAAAGGCGAAGUUAAGAACCCGGCGAGGUGGCGAAAGAACUGGAACCGCGUACGCAAUAAGAAAGUGGAGAAUCAUCGCUUAGGCGUGAUCAGUGCACCUUUGUAUAAUGGUCGCUGACUUAUAUUCUGUGUUGCUGGGGAAUAGGAGUUUCGAAGGAAACCGCCGAGUCUUAUCAUGCUGCUGGCGGUAUGACCUGAAACUCGGUGGAUUCCAGCCAUGGCAGGUUGGAAGGUUGGGUAACACUGAGGACCGAACCGACUAAGGUUGAAAAUUAGCGAUGACUUGUAUAGAAAGGUUAAUCAAACCGGAGAUAGCUGGUUCUCCUCGAAAGCUAUUUAGGUAAGGCCUCGUGAACCCAUCUCCGGGGUGGCAGAACAAUUGUUUCGGCAAGGCUCAUCCCGACUUUACCAACCUGAUGCAAACUGCGAAUACCGAGAAUGUUACCGAUGGCGGUUAAUCCGUCGUGAAGAGGAAACAACCCAGACCGCCAGCUUAAGGUCCCAAAGUGCCGCCGGGCGGGAACGAUGUGUAGGCCAGCUGGAUGUUGGUCAUUUAGGAAGCAGCCAUCACUUUUAAAGAAAGCGUAAUAGCCUCACUGGUCGAGUCGGCCUGCGCGAAUGCAGGCUAAACCAUGCACCGAAGCUGCGUGGCAGCGACGCUAUGCGCUGUGGGGAUGUCUCCGAAGCUCAGAAGGUGUACUGUGAGGUAUGCUGGAGGUAUCAGAAGUGAAUGCUGAUGAUGCGGCCCAUAAAGUGGGUGAGUGCCCGCUCGCCGGAAGACCCACAAGGUUCCUGGUCCAAUCGGCAGGGUGAAAUGGCGAGGUGGGCCAAGGCGUAGUCGAUGGGAAAUUUCUCAUUAUUAAUAUUCCUGUAAUGGCAAGUUACUCGCGAAGGGGAUAUUAAGGUUGGCCGGCAUGACGGUUAUCCCUGGUUUUUCAUGGCUGGUUUUCCAGCAAAUCCGGAAAAUCAAGGCCGAGGCGGUGGAUGACGAGGACCUACGGUGCUGAAGCAACAAAUGCCCCGUGAAAGCCUCUAAGCAUCAGGUAACAUCAACUGCACCCCAAAACCGACACAGGUGGUCAGGUAGAGAAUACCAAGAAGGCGCCUGAGAGGAACCGGCGAAGGAACUAGGCAAAUGUCGCACUGGAGGCAGCUGAUAUGUAGGCGAAGGACUGCUCGGAGCUGAAAUCAGUCGAAGAUACCCAGCUGGCUGCAACUGUUAAACACAGCACUGUGCAAACACGGAAAGUGGACGUACGUGACGCCUGCCCGGUGCCGAAGGUUAAUUGAUGGGUCAGCGCAAGCGCGAAGCUCUCGGAUCGAAGCCCGGUAAACGGCGGCCGUAACUAUAACGGUCCUAAGGUAGCGAAAUUCCCUUUGUCGGGUAAGUUCCGACCGCACGAAUAUGCGAUGGUAUUUCAGCUGCUCCACCCGGAGACCUGCGGAAUGAACUCUGCUACAGAAGAUGCAGUGUACCCGCGGCGCGAAAGACCCCGUGAACCUUUACCAUAGCUUGGACACCGAACAUUGAGCCCUGGAUGCAGGAUAGGGAUUUCGAAGUGUGGACGCCAGUCUGCAUGGAGCCGACCCUGAAAUACCCACCUGUUUGAUGUUCUGCUGUCCGCUGCGGACAGUAAGUCUGGUGGGUGGAUCAAGCGGUCUCCUCCCAAAGAGUAACGGAGGAGCACGAAGCGCCGGCUAACCCCGCCUGACAUCAGGAGGUUAUAAUGGCAUAAGCCAGCCAGUUUGAUCGCGGAGCGUACGGCGCGGCGGCAGCAGGCCCGCAGUGAUCCGGUGGUUCACCGGAAGGGCUUACCGUCAACGGAUAAAAGCAAAAUCUGGGAUAAUACGAUACCGCCCGCUAUAUCGACGGCGGUGUUCUUGGCACCCCGAUGUCGGCUCAUCACAUCCCGGGCUGAAGCGGUCCCAAGGUACACACCGCCAUUUUAAAGUGGCACGCUGAGCUGGCUUAGAACGUCGUGAGACAGUUCGGUCCCCAUUCGCCGUGGGCGCUGGAGAACUGAGGGGCCGUUCUAAAGUACGAGGAUCGAGUGAAAUUUAGUGUUUCCAAUGUCGCCAAUGGCACUCGCUCCGGUAGCUAAACGCGGAAGAGAUAAGUGCUGAAAGCAUCUGGCACGAACUCGUUCUUCGAGAUGAGUUCUCCCUGACUCCCUUUGAGAGUCCUGAAGGAACGUUGAAGACGACGACGUUGAUAGGCCGGGUGUGUAAGCGCAGCGAUGCGUUGAGCUAACCGGUACUAAUGAACCGUGAGGCUUAACCUUACAACGCCGAAGCUGUU
rnacentral:rRNA from 1 species